rnacentral:rRNA from 1 species
AGGACGAACGCUGGCGGCGUGCUUAACACAUGCAAGUCGAACGGAAAGGCCCUUCGGGGUACUCGAGCGGCGAACGGGUGAGUAACACGUGAGUAACCUGCCCCUAGCUCUGGGAUAGCUCCGGGAAACCGGGAUUAAUACCAGAUACGACCACUUUAGACAUCUGUCGUGGUGGAAAGGAUUCCGGCUAGGGAUGGGCUCGCGGCCUAUCAGCUUGUUGGUGGGGUAACGCCUACCAAGGCGACGACGGGUAG